rnacentral:pre_miRNA from 1 species
CGCCCAUACCGGAUAUGCCUAUUAGGUGGCUGGGGACGAGAGUACACGGAAAAGGUUUUUCGUGCACUCUCGUCCCCAGCCACCUAAUCGGCGCAUCCGGUAUGGGAGA